rnacentral:rRNA from 1 species
CCUACGGGAGACAGCAGUAGGGAAUCUUCCACAAUGGGCGAAAGCCUGAUGGAGCAACGCCGCGUGGAUGAAGAAGGUCUUCGGAGCGUAAAACCCUGUUUUUAGAGAAUAAAGUGCGUGAGAGUAACUGUUCACGUUUCGACGGUAUCUAACCAGAAAGCCACGGCUAACUACGGGCCAGCAGCCGCGGUAAUACGUAGGUGGCAAACGUUAUCCGGAUUUAUUGGGCGUAAGGGGAACGCGGGCGGUCUUUUAAGUCUGAUGUGAAAGCCUUCGGCUUAACCGGAGUAGUGCAUUCGAAACUGGGAGACUUGAGUGCAGAAGAGGAGAGUGGAACUCGAGGUGUAGCGGUGAAAUGCGUAGAUAUAUGGAAGAACUCCAGUGGCGAAGGCAGCUCACUGGUCUGUAACUGACGCUGAGGUUCGAAAGCGUGGGUAGCAAACAGGAUUAGAUACCCCUGUAGUC